AACUCAAGAGCUUUCACUCCACACUUGCUCACACGUUUUUGCCUCCAAGCUUCCAAGCUUUCAAGUGCUCAAGUAUCCUAGCUUUCCAAAGCUUCAAAAGCUCUCCAACUUCUUCUUCUAAUCUUCUUGUUCAUCUUUACAAGUAAGAAGUGUUGUUUGCUUUAAUAUUCCACUCCUCUAAUCACCUCUUGUGUGUGUCCACUUUUGUUGAGAGGGUUGUCUCAAUAGUACCAAAGUGUUAGAGAAGGUUUGUGAGCUCAACCAUAAAGCUCUAGUUUGGUUUUAUAGAGUUUCCUGGAAAACUCUUAGGUUGAGUCUACCUUUAAAGAUUUCAGAGGUUUUUAAGAGUUCCUUGAUACUCUAAGGUGCUAACUUACCCGUAAAAGUUAGAGGUUCUUAAGAGUGCCCUUGAUACUCUAAGGUGUGAGUCUACCCGUAAAAGACUGGUUCCUAAGCGAAGUAGCCUUAAAGCUUAGAGAGGUUUUUAAGAGUUCCUUGAUACUCUAAGGUACUAACUUACCCGUAAAAGUUAGAGGUUCUUAAGAGUGCCCUUAAUACUCUAAGGUGUGAGUCUACCCGUAAAAGACUGGUUCCUAAGCGAAGUAGCCUUAAAGCUUAGAAAGGUUUUGCCAUUACCUUUAGGCGAGUGAAUUCUGGCAGUUGGUCGGGACUGGACUAGCCCUUGUUUGGGUGAACCAGUAUAAAUCUCUUGUGUUGUUCUCUGUUAAUUAUAGCUUUAUCUUUUGUUUAAAAAACAACACUUAAUUAAAAAGAUCCCUCUUCCAGUUAUCUGGUCAAACACAAAGGUUGACUACUUUACACAGAUCCCUCAUCCAGUUAUCUGGUCAACUAUCUGAGGUUAUAUUCAUUGCUUUAAAUCUUUAUAUUUGUUCAAGUACUACUUAUCAUAUUUAUCCAGUUAUCUGGUCACUUACUUGUUUAUCAACUUAUCCAGUUAUCUGGUCACUUACUUGUUUAUCAAUAUAUCCAGUUAUCUGGUCAUUUACUUGCGUAUCAAUAUAUCCAGUUAUCUGGUCAUUUACUCUACAUUACAAUUUGUGUUUUCAAUAUAACUUAGUAUUCAUAUACUAUAGUUGUGUGUAAAACACUAUCAAGCAAGUUGACUCAGUAUUCAUAUACUGUAGUAAGCUUCGGAGAGUAAUACUUACAUCAUUAUAUCAAUCAAAAUCAUAAUAUCCUUAUAUCAUUACUUGUUCAACCAUUUGUUUAUUAAGCAUUUACAGGUAAUUCCGCAAUCAACCUGUAUAAAUCGAAAAGAGGCUAUUACCCCCCAUUAUAGCCUCGGAUCACGAUCCAACAAGUGGUAUCAGAGCCAAGUUUCGUUGAAGUCAGACUAACAUCUUACAACAACAACUAUGGCUUCAAAUGGUGAAAACAGUACUGGUCUUGCAUCGAACAAACCUCCCAGGUUCGAUGGAGUAAAGUAUGACUUCUGGAAGAACAAGAUGAAGUUAUACUUAAAGUCAAUCAACAAUGGAGUCUGGAAAAUCAUAUUGGAAGAUUAUGAGAUUCCAACAAGCAAAGAAGAGACUUGGGGAGCAAUGGAUAUCCUCAAGGAAAACAACAACUCAAAAGCAUUGAAUGCACUAUAUGGCGCUCUCAAUGAAUCUGAGUACAGCAGAAUUCGAUGCUUGGAUACAGCUCACAAGGUAUGGAAAGCUUUGGAGGAUUUACAUGAAGGAACCUCCCACGUCAAGGAAAAUAAGCUACUACAUGCCACUUCUCAAUUCGAAAGAUUCUCUAUGAGGGAAGAUGAGACUAUCGCAGAAAUGAACAUUCGACUAUCACAAAUAGUCAAUGAUCUGGCUGGACUAGGGGAUCCAGUAACUGAGAAAAAGCAAGCAAGAUUCUAAGAAGCCUUCCAAACAAAUACUACUCAAAGAGGAAUGCUAUCCAAGAAUCUCAUGAUCUGAACAAACUCACAGUGGUAGAACUUUGCGGAAAUCUGAUGGCCUAUGAAGAGGAAAGAUUUAUCUCUAGAGCAAAAGAGGAGAAAAAGGACAUUGCUCUCAAAAGUCAAAGCGAUAAUGAAUCAUCUGAUGAUGACUUGGCAAUGCUCACAAAUCAUUUAAAGAGAUAUCUCAUAAAAAGGAAAGAAAAGAGAAAUUCAAGGAUAGACUAUCAGAAUUCCGACAGAAAAGUAAGUAAAAACCACAAAGACUCAAAGGAGCCCAUCUGCUACUUGUGCGACAAAUCUGGACACAUCAGACCUGAAUGUCCUCUACUAAAGAAAGAAAAAGCAGAUCAAGUACACUGGUCAGAUUCUGAGUCAGAUCAAGAAGACUGCCUCAUGGCUCAUGAGAACGACUCUGAGGUAAACUUUACAAAUACUAGAUUUAAUUCAUUAGAAGAAGCAUUUCUAGAAUUAAUGAAUAAAUAUAAAGCUGAGAAAAAAUUAAGUAAAUCAUUAAGACUAGAAUGCAUGAAUAAAUCACAUAUUGAUCACUCAAUAGAAUUAGAAGAAUCACAAAAAGAAUGCAUGUUAUUAAAAGAAGAAAAUCAUAAACUCUCAAGUAAAAUAAAAAGGGGAGAUGAAAAAAUUAAAACACUUAAGAGUCAAAAUUUUGAAUUACUCGAUAUUCUAGAAUCUGAAGAAAAUCAACCCAAUGAAAUAAAUGAUGAUAGGGUUGAAUUGUUAGAAUUAAAAAUAGAUAAUCUUGAGGAAAUCAUUAGAAAUAAAGAAAAAGAAACAAUCAUGCUUAAAACUGAAAUAGAAUCUAAGGAUAAACUCAUACUUGAGCAUGAAGAAACUUUACAAAAAUUAUCUGAAAAACAUAAUAGCAUGCAAUUACAAAUUAAAAGAAUAAAUGAGAAAAAUAGUGUUCUUCAAAAAUUCUUCAAUAGUUCAUCCAAGUUAAAUAAUAUGUUGCAAGGCUCGAACUUGGGUCAAAAGAAAUUUGGCUUAGGGUUUGAGUCAAAUGCACCUAUUAACAAAACCUUAAAUGCCAUAACUUAUAAUGAUCAUUUGUAAGGGAAUCUAGUUAUACAAAACUUUUGCAUGCUUCAAUAUAUAAUAAUUAUUCUAGUAAUACAAAAUUCAUUCAUCUUAAGAAAAAGAAAAAUCAUUCUAAGAUGAAUCAUCCAAAGCAAAGAUGGAUGACUAAAGAUGAGUUACGAAACUAUAAGCAGAUUAAAUAUGUUAAUUCAUCAGGACCCAACUCAGUAUGGGUACCAAAGGAUCUUUCAACUUUUUCAGGAAAAGCAUGUGUCAAAAUGGAUGUUCGACAGUGGAUGCACAAGACACAUGACCGGGGAAUCAAGUCUACUAAACGACUUGAUAGACUUACCUACUACUAAAAAGGUUAAGUUCGCCGAUAACAAUGAAGGUACAAUAGUAGGUAGGGGUAAUAAUGUAGGAAAUACAGAAAAACCAUUCUUAAGAAAUGUAUACUUAGUAAAUGGUCUAAAACACAACCUGAUUAGCAUAAGUCAAUUAUGUGAUAUCGGUUGUGUAGUAAAAUUUGAAAAAUAUAAUUGUUCUAUCACUAACUCUGAGGGAGUUAUCAUUGCCAGAGGAUAUAGAAAAAGCAAUGCUUAUUCUAUAAACUUUGAUAAAUCUAAACCAACUCAUGACUUCUGCAUGCUUGCUGCAAGUGAUGAGAAAGUUCUAUGGCAUAGACGACUAGGUCACACCAGCUACUCAAAACUAUCUAAAUUAUCUAAAGAAGAAUUAGUAACUGGGUUGCCUAAAAUAGCUUAUAAAAAAAAGUAAUAUCUGUGAUGCUUGUCAAAAAGGAAAGCAACACAAAAGCUCGCUUAAAUCCCUCACAAAAAUAACCACUUCUAGACCCUUAGAGCUUCUUCACAUGGACUUAUUUGGGCCAACCCAAAUCCAAAGCCUUGGAGGAAAAAGGUUCACCUAUGUAAUCAUUGAUGAUUAUUCCCACUAUACAUGGGUGUUCUUUCUAAGAAACAAAAGUGAAACCUUUGGUGAAUUUUCUAAAUUUUGUACCCUAGUACAGAAUGAAAAAGGUUCAUCUAUCACAAAAAUCAGAAGUGAUCAUGGAGGAGAAUUUGAAAAUUCUGACUUUGAAGAGUACUGUAUAUCCAAUGGGAUAAAGCAUGAAUUUGCUGUUUCUCAAGCUCCACCUCAAAAUAGAAUAGUAAAAAAAAAAAUCGUACUCUUCAAGAAAUGAGUAAGUCUAUGUUACAAGAACAUGACUCCCCUCAAUAUCUAUGGGCAGAAGCUAUAAGCACUGCCUGUUACACUCUCAAUAAGGUAAUCAUUAGAAAGACCUUAAACAAAACGCCCUAUGAACUUUGGAAUAACAGAAAACCCAAAGUUUCAUUCUUUAAAGUAUUUGGGAGUAAGUGCUAUGUUCUCACAACAAGGGGAAACCAAGAUAAAUCAGCACAAAAAUCUGAUGAAGGAAUCCUGGUUGGAUACUCAAAAAGGAACAAGGCAUAUAGAGUCCUUCUCAAAGAAAGACAAACAUUGAUAGAAUCCCUACACGUUGACUUUGAUGAGUCCAUCUCUGUUCCAAACACAGAAGGAGGAAUUAAAGUCAUUCAACAAAUACCAUCUGACACUCCCAUAGAAAGAGAUGAUCAAGAAACAAUCAUCUCUGAACUUCCAUCAAAUAGGAAUCUCAGAAACUCAGACUCCGCAGAACAAAUCAUUGGAGAUCAACACAUUAGCAUACAAACAAAAUCAUCUAUACAAGGCAACUAUGUCCUAGAUUGCUUUGUAUCUCAAAUAAAGCCUAAGUAGAUCUAUAUGCAUAUGAACUUAACAUGAUCUAAUGCUAUAUAAACAUACAUGCUUUUAUCAUUCACAUGCUAAGCUCUACACGCACAUAACUCAAUAGACAUAGUAAGAUCUAAAUGCAUGUCUAUCAUAUCAAUCACGUUAAUACAUGCCUACACAUUGAUUUAUAUGCUUCUAUAAAAUAUAUGAUCUGAUAAAUGCUUGGUUUAUAAAAUCUCCUAUGAAAUAUUCAACUACAUAAUCAUCUGAAACAAUCAGUUAUAUACUAUGUGAUUGUGCUUUCAUUAUUCAACUCGUUGAUUCAUACAUAUCAUAUGCACUCAUCAUGCUUACAUGCAAUCACCUACCAAACAGUUGAUUAUCUUUGAAUGAUGCCAUCUUUUUAAUACUAGUUAAAGAACUAUAUGACAUACAAUCAUAAACAUGAAUAUUUCCUUACUAAACUAGCUAACUCAUAAUCAAUUCAUGAAACUAAUCCUAUACAUGCCUGUUUUACGUAUUACAAACCAUCUGUAUGCUUAUAAUCUUUUGAUAAAUACAUAUAGUAUGCAUGCAAAGUAAAAUGAAUCUACCUACAUAUGAGAUGUGCAAUACAUGCAUGAAAAUUUCAAAACAACUCAUUAUAUGCCACGAUUAUACAUACAAGAUGAACACUAAAAGAUUGGUGACUCAUGCCAUGUUGCUUAUAUUAUAAAUCUUACUUAUCACUGAUCAUCUGCAUGUUUAGAAGAGUCCUCUAAAUGCAAACUAGUCAACUAUGCAACAUCAUCUGAGUACAACAUAUUGCUAAAUCCAUUCUGCUAUAUUAUAUCUUAUCUAAAUGAUGUUGGUAAGCCACACCAUGCCUUGGAAACUCAAAACAAAUAAGAUAUGUUUUGAAACUCUCAAUGCUGAAAAAGCCAGCAAAAGCUCUACCCAUCUGCAACCAUCAAUCACUUGCGACAUCCGGCAACUCUAUUACCAGAGAAUGACCUGCAAAGAAACACCUCGCAAGAAGUGCUGACAGAAGACAAAUCCUGCACCUGCACACAUCAAUCUUCGUCUGCAGAAGUUGAAAACAUCGGCUACAAAAGUCUAAAGGCAUGGAGAGUGUAAGAGGUGUGUUGAACUACUAAAAAGGUAUGAUCUAAAUAGUUAAAUAAAUAGUUUUUUAAAAAUAAAUCUUAGCUUAGAUCUAUUAAACAAAAUCUCUAGAUAAAUCUAAAUGAUUUGACUCUCCAAGACAUGUGUCAUGGAGUAUUGAAAAACAAACUCUAAGUUGCCAACUCUUCACAGGUAGACAUGACUUAAAGCUUGUAAAGCUUUACAAGUAAUAUCUGUUAAUUCAGAAUCCGGACAGACAUGAUCUGCCAAAAGGUAGAAUAUCUCACUAUAAAAGGAUAGGAAGAACAAUCAAAUACAUAUCUUCUUCCUCUUCCUAAAACCAGUCUGUCCCAAGGAUGUUGAUUCAAGAAAUCAAUCCUGAGAAGAAGGAACUAACAAUCAUACCAGACUGUCCUUCCAGUCCGGUAUACAACCCCAAUCCUUCAAGCAGCAACCCUAUCCGGAAGAAACGCACCAGAAAGAUUCCAGUAUCAGAAAUGUUCCAAAGAACACCAACAUGGAUCUCUCCAAUAGCCAAGUUUUCCUAUAAUCUCAUUCUCGAGCAAAGAAUGAUCUUUGAGGAACCUGUUCUACUCAGAUCUCUCAACUGCAAGGUGAUUGAAGGGCUACUAAACUUCAACAGGCUUACUGACUACCUUGAGAACAUAGGGCAGCUCAGAAUCUACAAAUCUGAGUUGGCUCAGUUCUAUGCAAAUCUCAAGUAUGAGACAGUAGGUACUCAAGUGAUCACCACCAAGGUAAAUGGAAUAUGUCUCAUUCUAGGAGCUGAUAAACUUGGAAUGUGGAUAAACCUACCCAACAACGGAGUGAAGCUUCAAAACUACAGAAGCCUGGAUGAGCUACCUUUUAAGUGCAGCUGGGAGAUUCUCUGGAAUACUCUCACCCACAGGUACAACCCUAAGAGCACUGAUAAGAUUCUGAAUACAAUGCUCAUACCAGAAGCCUCAAUCUUUUUGAAGAUCAUCUCGUACAAUAUAUAUCCUCAAGUUGAAGAUAGAGAAGAACCAUCAACGUUGAUCUUAGUAGCAAUUUACUGCUUGCUGUCAAAGAUCAGAGUGAACUGGGUAUCACUGAUCAUGCACAAUCUGGCUACAUCAACCAAGAACACUGGAGCUCGCUACUACCCAAGGAUGCUUUCAAAACUCUUUAGUCCAGGGUACUUUGGAAUUCCACUCUAUCCACAUCCAAUCAUAUCUCACAUUCAACCAUUCACUGCAGGCUCCUUCCAAAAGACUUGGAGAAACACUUAUGAUCCAAACUCACCAAACACUAAUGUGUUUUUGAAUGAGGAAAUCAUAAGGGUUCGACACCAAGUAAGGAUGCUGGAGAAAGGAAUGGGAGAUCUGGAAGAGAUGGUUUCCAUAACAAGGCAACAGCUAGAUGUUGAGAGAGAGUACAACCUGGAGCUUGCAAACCUAUUUCACGAGUUUAGCUCCAAGGUCAUUCCAACCAUGCACCACCAUGACUAAACUGAAUCUACCCUAAGAAGUAGUUUGAUGUUUUGAGUACUUGUAUUUUGUUAUAUUUUGAAGAUCCAGCCAUGGAUCUUGAUCUCAUGAACUUGAGAUUGAACCACAUGCUACUCUCCUAUGUUAUGUGUUUUAUUUGAAGUUGAAUGAAAUAUCAUUUGCAAGUAACACAUAGAAGCUUAUUAUAAGGAUAUGCAUGUAAGAAAAUAAACAAACUUAACAAAAAAUCAAAUAUUUAAGGGCUGCAUGGAUUUUUUAGCUAAUACUUCAAGGUAUAAAAUUAAAAUUCUUUUGAAGUAUUAAUCGACUUUUCAAAGUCUUGAACUUUAAAACUUCAAGGGCUUAAACACAAACUAUUUUUGAAGUUUAAAAUGAUUCACUGAAAACUUAAGGAUUAAAGUUAUAUUUUUCAGUGAAUAUAAAGUUUUAUGAAACUUCAAGGACUUAAACGAAAAUCGUUUAUGAAGUUUUUAAGUUUUAAUGGAUUCACUGAAAAUUUAAGGAUCAAAAUUAUAUUUUUCAGUGAAUAUAAAUAUUCAGUUAAAACUUCAGGGACUUAGAAUCAAUAUUUACAUGAAGUUUUAAUCAAAAAAUUACUUAGAAAUAUUUAAUACUUCCAAGGUUUAAAAUGAAAUUUUUUUAAGUAUUAAUCUAAGUAUUCAUUAUAACUUCAAAGGGAUUAAAUUAUCUAUGAAGUUUUUCAUUGAAACUUAAGGGUUCAAAGGAUAUCUUUACAGUGAAUAAAUAUUUAGUUAAAACUUCAAGGACUUAAAAUUAAUAUUUACAUGAAGUUUUCAAUGCUUAGAAUUGGUUAAUACUUCCAAGGUUUAAAUGAAAUAUUUCAAGUAUUAAUCUAAGUAUUUAUUAUAACUUCAAAGGGCUUAAAUGAAAUUUUGUUUUAAGUGAAGUUUUACUACUAAGGCUUUAAGGACUGAAAUGAAAAUUUUAAAUCUUUUAAAACUUAGUGAAUAUUUACAUGAUUAUAUUUGUCACUAAGACAUAGAUUUUAAAAUUUUAAAUGCUCAAUUUCUCCUUAAAGCAAUUAGUGAAUAUUAUGGAUUUAUACAUAUCAUUCACUAAUAUCUUAUGGAUUAUAACAUUAUAAAAUCUUUAAUCCAUACAUGUUAAGAUCAUCUUCAUCCAUAACACACACAUGGAUUAUUAUUCAUUGCAUGAUCUUAGCACAAGGCAAUCUAAAUUAUCAUAUCAUACUUGCCUUAUAAUGUAUAUCAAAAUUGGCUUCAAUCCAAUAUUUUAUCAAUGAGCAUAAAUUACAUGUUAUUUCUCCUUUAUGAUUGACUAACACUCUUAUAAGCAAGACGUCACAUUUGGUCAACCACACAAAUCGAAUUUGUGAUUAAAGCUCAAUGAGGUAUGAAAUUUUAUUUUCUCCACAAAUUAGAUAUGUCCUACCAUUAAGGGGGAGAUACUUCACAGGUAUCUAUUUUUAACUUUGUCGAUACCUUAUUGUUUUCAGGGGGAGAAAUCAUGCAUGAUCCACUGCUUUUAAAUUGAAUAUUAUGGGUCAAUAAUUCAGGGGGAGCAUGCUCAUAAGGGUAAAAUAGAAUAUUGACUAGACAUGAGUUAAAACAUAUAUGCCAUCGACAAAGGGGGAGAAUGUAGAAUCAAAAUUGUCGACAUAGGAUUAUAUUUUAAUCAUGUCAAUUUAAAACCCUAAUUACACUAUUAAUCAAUAGGGGGUAAAUAAGUCAAUCGAUAUUAAACCUAACUCUAGUUAAUUAAUUAAUCAUUUGAGUUAAGGGUUUAAGUCAAAGUUAAAAAGUCAAAUUGGGAGAAUUGCAUUUUCACCUUGAAUAUUAUUAUUUGAAAUAAUUGCAUGUUUACCUUGAAUAUUAUUAUUAUUAUUAUCUUUUGACACUUUAUUCAAGGUAUAAUAUUCCAAAGGGACAAAACACUAUUCAUGGUUGAAUUUAUACAAAGAUAAGAUUCUCCAACAAACUCUAUCCAAGAAAAACACUAUUCAAGAUAAAAUCAAAGACAAAGCUUGGAUUUAUGUGAGAAAUCAAGGAACCAUCCAUUGAAGAUCCAAGGAUGGACAUUGAGUGGCCAAGGCUAUAAAUAGAAGGGUAAUCCCCUCAUUUUCACUCACCACACUACAAUAAAACUCAAGAGUUUUCACUCCACACUUGCUCACACGUUUUUGCCUCCAAGCUUCCAAGCUUUCAAGUGCUCAAGUGUCCUAGCUUUCCAAAGCUUCAAAAGCUCUCCAACUUCUUCUUCUAAUCUUCUUGUUCAUCUUUACAAGUAAGAAGUGUUGUUUGCUUUAAUAUUCCACUCCUCUAAUCACCUCUUGUGUGUGUCCACUUUUGUUGAGAGGGUUGUCUCAAUAGUACCAAAGUGUUAGAGAAGGUUUGUGAGCUCAACCAUAAAGGUCUAGUUUGGUUUUAUAGAGUUUCCUGGAAAACUCUUAGGUUGANNNNNNNNNNNNNNNNNNNNNNNNNNNNNNNNNNNNNNNNNNNNNNNNNNNNNNNNNNNNNNNNNNNNNNNNNNNNNNNNNNNNNNNNNNNNNNNNNNNNAACUUACCCGUAAAAGUUAGAGGUUCUUAAGAGUGCCCUUGAUACUCUAAGGUGUGAGUCUACCCGUAAAAGACUGGUUCCUAAGCGAAGUAGCCUUAAAGCUUAGAAAGGUUUUGCCAUUACCUUUAGGCGAGUGAAUUCCGGCAGUUGGUCGGGACUGGACUAGCCCUUGUUUGGGUGAACCAGUAUAAAUCUCUUGUGUUGUUCUCUGUUAAUUAUAGCUUUAUCUUUUGUUUAAAAAACAACACUUAAUUAAAAAGAUCCCUCUUCCAGUUAUCUGGUCAAACACAGAGGUUGACUACUUUACGCAGAUCCCUCAUCCAGUUAUCUGGUCAACUAUCUAAGGUUAUAUUCAUUGCUUUAAAUCUUUAUAUUUGUUCAAGUACUACUUAUCAUAUUUAUCCAGUUAUCUGGUCACUUACUUGUUUAUCAACUUAUCCAGUUAUCUGGUCACUUACUUGUUUAUCAAUAUAUCCAGUUAUCUGGUCAUUUACUUGCGUAUCAAUAUAUCCAGUUAUCUGGUCAUUUACUCUACAUUACAAUUUGUGUUUUCAAUAUAACUUAGUAUUCAUAUACUAUAGUUGUGUGUAAAACACUAUCAAGCAAGUUGACUCAGUAUUCAUAUACUGUAGUAAGCUUCGGAGAGUAAUACUUACAUCAUUAUAUCAAUCAAAAUCAUAAUAUCCUUAUAUCAUUACUUGUUCAACCAUUUGUUUAUUAAGCAUUUACAGGUAAUUCCGCAAUCAACCUGUAUAAAUCGAAAAGAGGCU
rnacentral:lncRNA from 1 species